rnacentral:snRNA from 1 species
GCUUGCAUAUGCUUAAAUUGAAAUGCUACAGAGAAGAUAGCUUGACCCCUGGGUAAGGAUGACAUACAAAUUCUUGAAGCAUUCCAUAUUUUU